GGAGAAUCAUGAUGAUAAUCAGUUGCAAUGUGAACUAACAAAUAACCUUGAAGUACAAGCAGAUCCAAUUAAUGUGGAACAAAUAAAGCAUCAGCUUGUUUAUUAUAAAGAAUCAGCAACUAUAUGCAGUAGGAAUAACCAUGAAGUACAACCAGAUUCAAAACAUAUGGAAUAUAGAGGUUUGUACUGAAUUU